GACGAACGCUGGCGGCAUGCCUAACACAUGCAAGUCGAGCGACAGCUUCGUGUCUACUUGCUAACGGGUACGUCACGCGUGGGAACGUGCCCUUACGCUCGGCAUACCUCCCCGAAAGGGGUGCUCAUACCGGUUAAUGUCUUCUGACCAAAGAUUUAUAGCCUUUGGCUGGGCCCGCGUGGGAUUAGCUGUUUGGUGGGGGAAGAGCCUGCUACGUCGACAAUGCAUAUCUGGGCUGUGAGGAUGCACACCGACCCUGGUACUGAGACACGCACCAGACUCCUACGGUAGGCAGCAGUGGGGAAUCUUAGACAAUCGGGUAGAGUGUGAGCCAGCAGUGCUGCGUGAGGGAUGCAGGUCUUAUGGUUGUAAAGCGCCUUUACCCGGGAUCAUAAUGACAGUACCGUAUGAAUAAGCUCCGGCUAACUCCGUG
rnacentral:rRNA from 1 species